rnacentral:rRNA from 1 species
GCCAUGCAUGUCUAAGUACAUACCGGUGAAACCGCGAAUGGCUCAUUAAAUCAGUUACGGUUCCUUAGAUAUUAACAAUCUACAUGGAUAACUGUGGUAAUUCUAGAGCUAAUACAUGCGCAAAAGAUUCGACCCUACGGGAAGAAUCGCAUUUAUUAGACCAAGAUCAAUGGGAUCCUUCGGGGUUCCUUUGUAUGGUGACUCUGGAUAACUGUGCUGAUCGCAUGGCCUAUGUGCCGGCGACGAAUCUUUCAAGUGUCUGCCUUAUCAACUUUCGAUGGUAGGUUAUGCGCCUACCAUGGUUGUAACGGGUAACGGGGAAUCAGGGUUCGAUUCCGGAGAGGGAGCCUGAGAAACGGCUACCACAUCCAAGGAAGGCAGCAGGCACGCAAAUUACCCACUCCCGGCACGGGGAGGUAGUGACGAAAAAUAACAAUACGGGACUCUAAUGAGGCCCCGUAAUUGGAAUGAGUACAAUCUAAAUCCUUUAACGAGGAUCAAUUGGAGGGCAAGUCUGGUGCCAGCAGCCGCGGUAAUUCCAGCUCCAAUAGCGUAUAUUAAAGUUGUUGCGGUUAAAAAGCUCGUAGUUGGAUCUCAGUUCAUGCUAUGUGGUCCACUUGCCGGUGGUUACUACUUAGCUGAACAUCUUACAGACCUGUCUUGCGAUGCUCUUCACCGGGUGUCGUGAGCGAUCUGUACGUUUACUUUGAAAAAAUUAGAGUGCUUAAAGCAGGCGUAACGCCCGAAUAAUCUUGCAUGGAAUAAUGGAAUAGGACCUCGGUUCUAUUUUGUUGGUCUUCGGAAUCUGAGGUAAUGAUUAAGAGGGACAGACGGGGGCAUUCGUAUUGCGGCGCUAGAGGUGAAAUUCUUGGACCGUCGCAAGACGAACUACAGCGAAAGCAUUUGCCAAGAAUGUUUUCAUUAAUCAAGAACGAAAGUUAGAGGUUCGAAGGCGAUCAGAUACCGCCCUAGUUCUAAC